GAAACAAAUGAUGGACACAAAUGACAUCACCGAAUACGGGUACCAGAACCAUCAGAAGUUUUCUGCAUUACAUUGAAUCUGGCUUGAAGCCUUUGAGAUAUGAGAUCUGCCCAAUAUCCGUCAUCAUGAGGGACCCACAGGUAGAGAUCAGGGCAGGUGAGCUCACGAACUUAGAGAAAAGACAUCUAGCUGCCAAGGCAGCGUUGUAAAUCCAGCUACUCAUUGCUCAAGCACAAGCCUUCCUUCAAGACCGGCAACUCCUCUCUCCUCACAGCCCGCAAAGAGGCAGGAUUGUUCUGCUGCAGCUCCAGUAUGUCUGCUUUUGAGACCCUCUCCACCAGAAUCCUCGGGGUACCCUGGCAUGUCCUCAUCUAGACAACUGGAUAAUGCGCAAACAUCAUGUUCUGCCAAGAGUUUAGAAGUAGACGGGGGUUAGAGAUGUCUCUCCACCUUGCUACCAAGUCAGGUCCCUUUGGGGACAGGAAGUGAAGAGCUAUUAGUGUUUACAACUGGACAACAGGCAUAAACCAAAACUGUGCAGGCAGAGAAGGUCCUACGUCACUGCCUUCAUGAGGGAAAUUGAUCUCAGCAAAACCUGGCUACACUUGCAGACACUUGACGGCAAACAAAACAGACAGAACUUGUUAGGGGUAAUCUCUCGGCAAGUCUUUCUGAAGAAAGUUCCAGGCAGCGACCCUGCUCACUCCAUCCUGGGAAGUCUCUGGGGUCCCCUAGAGUCCCCAGUAUCACGCUUUUUCGCUGCUGGAGCAUUUGUUUUAAGAGAUUCUGCGUGCUGCCCAGAAGUGAGCUGGACCUUCAUUCGUGUGUAUGUUCAUUCAUUCCCACAUUUAACAGGUUUGGGUUUCAUCGAGGGGACCCAGGCAACAAGAAAACUCUCUUGGACAGGAGCAUGGCAGGUCAAGGUUAGCUCAUGGACAUAA
rnacentral:lncRNA from 9 species